rnacentral:rRNA from 1 species
ACAUGCAGUCGAACGGUAGCACAGAGAGCUUGCUCUUGGGUGACGAGUGGCGGACGGGCCGAUAAUGUCUGGGAAACUGCCCGAUGGAGGGGGAUAACUACUGCGAUACGGUAGCUAAUACCGCAUAACGUCGCAAGACCAAAGUGGGGGACCUUCGGGCCUCACACCAUCGGAUGUGCCCAGAUGGGAUUAGCUAGUUGGUGAGGUAAUGGCUCACCAAGGCGACGAUCCCUAGCUGGUCUGAGAGGAUGACCAGCCACACUGGAACUGAGACACGGUCCAGACUCCUACGGGAGGCAGCAGUGGGGAAUAUUGCACAAUGGGCGCAAGCCUGAUGCAGCCAUGCCGCGUGUAUGAAGAAGGCCUUCGGGUUGUAAAGUACUUUCAGCGAGGAGGAAGGCAUUAAGGUUAAUAACCUUAGUGAUUGACGUUACUCGCAGAAGAAGCACCGGCUAACUCCGUGCCAGCAGCCGCGGUAAUACGGAGGGUGCAAGCGUUAAUCGGAAUUACUGGGCGUAAAGCGCACGCAGGCGGUCUGUCAAGUCGGAUGUGAAAUCCCCGGGCUCAACCUGGGAACUGCAUUCGAAACUGGCAGGCUAGAGUCUUGUAGAGGGGGGUAGAAUUCCAGGUGUAGCGGUGAAAUGCGUAGAGAUCUGGAAGAAUACCGGUGGCGAAGGCGGGCCCCCUGAACAAGACUGACGCUCAAGUGCGAAAGCGUGGGGGAGCAAACAGAUUAGAUACCCCUGGUAGUCCACGGCCGUAAACGAUGGCGACUUGGAGGUUGUGGCCCUUGAGGCGUGCCUUCCGGAAGCUACGCCGUUAAGUCGAACC